UACGGAGGGUGCAAGCGUUAUCCGGAUUCACUGGGUUUAAAGGGUGCGUAGGUGGGUCUGUAAGUCAGUGGUGAAAUCUCCGUGCUUAACAUGGAAACUGCCAUUGAUACUAUAGGUCUUGAAUUUUCUGGAGGUAAGCGGAAUAUGUCAUGUAGCGGUGAAAUGCUUAGAUAUGACAUAGAAUACCUAUUGCGAAGGCAGCUUACUACGCAGAUAUUGACGCUCAUGCACGAAAGCGUGGGGAUCAAACAGG
rnacentral:rRNA from 1 species